UGAGUAAUGCGUGGGAAUCUGCCUACUAGCGGGGGAUAGCCCGGAGAAAUCCGGAUUAAUACCGCAUAAGCCCUACGGGGGAAAGCUGGGGAUCUUCGGACCUGGCACUAGUAGAUGAGCCCGCGUUAGAUUAGCUUGUUGGUGGGGUAAUGGCCUACCAAGGCAACGAUCCAUAGCUGGUCUGGGAGGACGAUCAGCCACACUGGGACUGAGACACGGCCCAGACUCCUACGGGAGGCAGCAGUGGGGAAUAUUGCACAAUGGGCGAAAGCCUGAUGCAGCAAUACCGCGUGUGUGAAGAAGGCCUGAGGGUUGUAAAGCACUUUCAAUUGUGAGGAAAAGCUUUUGGUUAAUAACCAUUGACCGUGACGUUACCCACAGAAGAAGGACCGGCUAACUCCGUGCCAGCAGCCGCGGUAAUACGGAGGGUCCGAACGUUAAUCGGAAUCACUGGGCGUAAAGCGCACGUAGGCGGUUUUGUAAGUCGAAUGUGAAAGCCCUGGGCUUAACCUGGGAACUGCAUUCGAUACUGCAUAACUAGAAUCUGGUAGAGGGGGGUAGAAUUCCUAGUGUAGCGGUGAAAUGCGUAGAUAUUAGGAGGAAUACCAGUGGCGAAGGCGGCCCUCUGGCUCGAUACUGACACGGAGGUGCGAAAGCGUGGGGAGCAAACAGGAUUAGAUACCCUGGUAGUCCACGCCGUAAACGAUGUCUACUAGCCGUUGGGAGACUUAUCUCUUAGUGGCGCAGCUAACGCAAUAAGUAGACCGCCUGGGGAGUACGGUCGCAAGAUUAAAACUCAAAUGAAUUGACGGGGGCCCGCACAAGCGGUGGAGCAUGUGGUUUAAUUCGAUGCAACGCGAAGAACCUUACCUACCCUUGACAUCCUCAGAACUUGUUAGAGAUAACUUGGUGCCUUCGGGAACUGUGAGACAGGUGCUGCAUGGCUGUCGUCAGCUCGUGUUGUGAAAUGUUGGGUUAAGUCCCGUAACGAGCGCAACCCUUGUCCUUAGUUGCCAGCACGUAAUGGUGGGAACUCUAAGGAGACUGCCGGUGAUAAACCGGAGGAAGGUGGGGAUGACGUCAAGUCAUCAUGGCCCUUAUGGGAUGGGCUACACACGUGCUACAAUGGCUAGUACAGAGGGCAGCGAACUCGCGAGAGUAAGCAAAUCCCAGAAAGCUGGUCGUAGUCCGGAUUGGAGUCUGCAACUCGACUCCAUGAAGUUGGAAUCGCUAGUAAUCGCGAAUCAGAAUGUCGCGGUGAAUACGUUCCCGGGCCUUGUACACACCGCCCGUCACACCAUGGGAGUGGGUUGCAAAAGAAGUGGGUAGCUUAACCUUCGGGAGUGCGCUCAC
rnacentral:rRNA from 1 species